rnacentral:lncRNA from 1 species
UUUGGAAAUCUCUAAAGUCAACAUCGGAAGGGAAAGCACGUAAAGGUAAGGGAUUAUAUUCCGGUACAAUCAUGUAGGUCAUAGGAUCAUAAGGUAUGUUGGUGGUAGAAUCCUUACCUAAUAAGAGAUAAAAACUAUAGAACAUAAAUAAAAUAAUAAUAAUAUAUUGUAACACAUUACUUUGGCGUGUUUAAAUUUUGUAUGGCAUUCCUAAUGGUUUACUUUUAUUUUUCUUUUGAGAAAGUGAUGAUCAGUGAAGGAAAGUUUUAUAUCUUAUUUACUUGUUUAUUUGUUGUUGACAUAGUGAAUGUUCUAAUAUACUUAUUUCAUGAAUUGUGGUGAUAGUUUGAUGGACAUUGUAGAACAAAUUUACCGCUGUACCUGCUACAACUGAUAGAAAAUGUGUUCAUGAUAUUAUUAGAAAAUAGUGAUAAAAAGCAUAGCAUGGCAUAUAGUCGAGUCAUAUGUGCCAAAUGGGGCGAUUUGUUAUGUGCCAAAUGGGGCGAUUUUGUUAUUAUGUGCCAAAUGGGGCGAAUACGCUACUUGGGGCGUUAAAUUCCAAGUGCCAAAUGGGGCGAUUUGUUAUGUGCCAAAUAGGGCGAAUACGCUACUUGGGGCGUUAAAUUCCAAGUGCAAAUGGGGCGAUAUCCGGAUCAUGGUCUAGUUGCAUUUCAUGCAUCAUUUAGUCUAAUUUUUAUUUAUCUUAUUAGCAUUAUUUUUGUGAAUUGCAAGUGUUGUUUUUAUUAUCUUAUUUGUGCUAUUUGGCUUUUACCUUUUAUGUGGUGAGUCUUUGACUAUCUUUCUUAUUUUAUGUUUUUAUGUUCUAUAUGAUUNNNNNNNNNNNNNNNNNNNNNNNNNNNNNNNNNNNNNNNNNNNNNNNCUUGCACUUAACAUAUUAGGUACCAAGGAAGGUGGACUUAACGAUGAUUGAAGCUUGCUUGCGAGAACGGGGGAAAAGAAUUAUGGGUUUUUAAUAAAUAAAUUAUGUUGAAAACAAAUAAUUUGAUAAUCGUAUUUUAUUUUCGAACUGUCUAGUAUGUUUGGAAAUGCGGAGUUUCCGCUAGAACUUUUCCCACA